rnacentral:rRNA from 1 species
CAGAGGGUGCAAGCGUUAAUCGGGAUUUACUGGGCGUAAAGCGCGCGUAGGUGGCCAAUUAAGUCAAAUGUGAAAUCCCCGAGCUUAACUUGGGAAUUGCAUUUCGAUACUGGUUGGCUAGAGUAUGGGAGAGGAUGGUAGAAUUCCAGGUGUAGCGGUGAAAUGCGUAGAGAUCUGGAGGAAUACCGAUGGCGAAGGCAGCCAAUCUGGCCUAAAUACUAGACACUGAGGUGCGAAAAGCAUGGGAGCAAAACAGGAUU